rnacentral:lncRNA from 1 species
UCUACCAGUCGCUCCUUGACCUCUGAGGUGGACAGACUACGUCAGGCAACUGCAGGGAUAUUCAUAUUCAGGAGAUUCCUGCACUUCCUGAGCCUAAUUGCGAUGUCCUACGCGAUCCCCUUGUGUAAAGGAACUCUUCCUUAGGAACCGAGGACGCGUAAGAACGACGACUUAUUAUUAUCUGCGACAUUAUUAUUAUGAGUGAAUGACUUAUUAUUAUCUGCGACGCCACGCUCAGUGUAAUGGACGCUCACACACUCUGAUCGCGAGCUUCAUCAUCUUAGGACAUUCGGACGAGCUGACCGCGUACCCAGAAUUGGUCAAUAAAGCUUUGGCCAAUCACAGCCGAGUCGAGCAGCACUCUGUCCAAUGAGAAGAGGAAAUGACCCAGCAUCUGGCCUCAAAAUAGGCCUUUUUAGAUUCUAGACAGAACUAGCUCAGCCAUCGUGUCGAGAGGUCCUCCUCUCCCUUCGACUCCUCCUCAAGGAUUCCAGCUGUUUCCGAUGGUCAAAUGGCUUGAGGCAGGGAAAGUGACACAGAAAGUUGCCAGCGUCAUCAUCGAAACGGGUCAUAAGAACAAGGUGCAGAUCACAGAGGCAGACAGAUCAGGACAGAGAGGUCAGACAGACAGACAAGAGCGAACAGCUCUGACCUCUGGUGUAUUAUCAGUCCACAAU